rnacentral:rRNA from 1 species
UGCAAGUCGAACGCAGUAGCAAUACUGAGUGGCAAACGGGUGAGUAUAAUGUGGGAAUCUGCCUUUUGGUUUGGAAUAACACGGGGAAACUUGUGCUAAUACCGAAUAAGCCUUAACAGGGAAAGUUUUAACGCCGAAAGAUGAGCCCGCACUUGAUUAGCUAGUUGGUAAGGUAAAAGCUUACCAAGGCAACGAUCAAUAGCUGUUCUUAGAGGAAGACCAGCCACAUUGGGACUGAGACACGGCCCAGACUCCUACGGGAGGCAGCAGUGGGGAAUCUUGCACAAUGGGGGAAACCCUGAUGCAGCGAUGCCGCGUGAGUGAAGAAGGCCCUUGGGUUGUAAAACUCUUUCGUCGGGGAAGAAAAUGACUGUACCCGAAUAAGAAGGUCCGGCUAACUUCGUGCCAGCAGCCGCGGUAAUACGAAGGGACCUAGCGUAGUUCGGAAUUACUGGGCUUAAAGAGCUCGUAGGUGGUUAAAAAAGUUGAUGGUGAAAUCCCAAGGCUCAACCUUGGAACUGCCAUCAAAACUUUUUAGCUAGAGUGUGAUAGAGG